AAGCCUGAGGGAAAGGAAGCAGAAGCAGGAAAGAAGAACACAUCUAAAAGAGUGACAUCACAGGAAAAAGGAAAGCAGAACAUUGAGCAGCAAAGCAGCAAAAUGUAGAGAGAGCAGAAGGACCACUCAGAGGAAGGAAGACUACAGGAAAAGUUUAAACCUAUAAAUAGGGACAGAAAACUGGACAACGCUGUUAAAGAAAUACUGCUGAUACAAGACUUCUGCCGCCACGGGGAGCAACGCCAUGAACAAGAUGGAAGUCAAAACCAACCAAUAGGUUUUCAUGAGAUUACAGAAGACAGUAUGAUUUGUUUUUAAAUAGGUGUUUGAAAUAACGGUUAUUGGAAAUAGUUUUCAUGUUUCUAGGGGGGGUGCGUUAACAGGUGUAUUGGGGACUAUGUUUGUUGUUGUUAGUAAAAAAAAAAAAAAAAAAAGCUGCCUUUGCCCCCAAAGGUUUUACUAUAAAAAAGUUUCGCUGGACGUUGUUGAGAAUUUGGAAGCUGUACUGCCCCCAUAUGGCGUAAGCGGGAAUAGCGCUUUAUUUUUGUACAUUGUAUUUGAACAUAGUUUUUAGCCCCCCUUACUAAAAAAAAUGUUUCAGCAUUGAGGGGCAGGUUAUCCCCUAUAUAUAUAUAUAUAUAUAUAUAUAUAUAUAAAUUUCACAUAUGUUGUGUUGCUGUUAGUAAAAAGAACAUACAGGCUUAUGUGCUAAAAACAUUUUGUCUAUGUGUAUUGGCAGACUUAUCAAGCGUUAUCCCUCAAGAAGAAACGUUGAAGGGGGCCAAGAAAUUUCCCUCUGAAUCAGCAACAGUUUCCAGGGUUUGAAGCAAGGGUAUUAGGCACUCCGAUUUUGAACAGCCCUGCACAUCCAAAUCCCUCAUUACACAGAGCCAACUGCCUUUAAAGAGGGGCAAAAAAUUUCCCUCUGAGGCAGCUGCAGUGGAAGCAAGGGUAUUAGCCCCCCUGAUUUUGAACAGCCCUGCACAUCCAAAUCCUUCAUUACACAGAGCCAGCCAUCCUUAAAAAGGGCCAAGAAAUCUACUUCUGAAACAGCAACAGUUUCCAGAGGUGGGAAAUAGGGGAUCAGACCCCCCAAUUUUGAACCGCCCUGCACCUCCAGAGCCAAGAAAUCUACCUCUGCAGCUUCCAGGGACAUUGGUAAGCAAUCCAAAGGGGUCAAAGCCCUUAGUUCUCAACAACCCUAUGCCUUCACAGCCCAGAAGGAAUCAGCUUUAAAAAGGGUAAAAGCAAACAACCCUGUAGCAGCAACCAUGUCUGAGAUGGGUUUGAGCAGGGACUAGGGGCCAGCCCCCCUGCUUCUGGGCAACGCAGAACCUCUGCUACAAAUAACAACCUCCCCGUAGGUCUUGCUGCAUCAGUUGUUGUUUGUAAUGAGAUGUUUAGUGUUUAUACAUCUCUUGAGCGUUUAAUAGAUAAAAAGUUUUCGAAGCUAAUUCUUGAGGUUUUUCAAAAGCAAAAUGCUCCAGAAGAAAGGGUGGUUUUAGACCAAAAGAUAACAGAAACCCAGGCACUGAUUGAAAAGGUGGAAAGCGCAUUGAAGGUGGAAGGGAGGGUGUGACUAAACAUGAAACCUAAAAACAUAAAGAGGGGUUAGGGGGAAAAAUGGAAGAAAUCUAAAAAAUUGAGGAGGCUUUUGGCCAAAAACUUUAAAAAGCCAGAGCUUUUUACAGAAAAUAACCCCCCCAACCAAGAAAGGGAAAUAGACAUAGACUCCCCCCCGACCCCCUCUUCUGAAGGUCCAGAUUCUCCUGCUCCUAAUACACCUCCUUAGGUGUAUUUGGAAUGUGUGAGACACUGGAUAAGACCCCGAAGAGAGUUUAACACUUACGAAUAUUUUUAAGAAUUUCGUUUCACUAAUUUGGACAGAGUAAUGGGGUUCACAGAGGCCACGG